rnacentral:lncRNA from 1 species
CCAUUACAUUUUGGUCCCUCUGGCAGCCACUGACGCAAGUUGCACCUGCAACACGCGGCGGCCGAUCUAGGCCCUCCCUAGCCCCCUGCUACCUGCAAAAAGAAAGAGAAAUCAACAAUUUAAAAGGUUUUUCAAACCCCCAAUUGGAAAAAGGGAGGAAGCAAAAAAAAACAAAUUUUGAGCAAAAAAAAUUAAAAACAGCAGCAAACAAGCCCCACACCUCCGUGUCCACCACCGUGCCUCACCACCGGCCGUCGUCGUCCUCCUACCUAUCAAAGACAAAGAGAGCCAACAAAUAAAAAGCAAAGGAAAGACACAAAAAAAUAAAAAAAAAGCAAGCAAAAAAGAAAAAAUAGCAAAGAAAGAAAAGAAAAAGAAGAAAAGAGGGGAGAGGAGAGCUCCUCCGCCGUCGUCGAUCGUCGCAUCGGGUUGGGAGGAGCACCGUCGGGGGCUGAUCGGGAAAGAAGAAAAAGAAAAAAGAAGAGAGAAAGAAAGAAGAAAAAGAAAGAAAAAAAGGGGAAGAAGAAAGAAGAAAAAAAGAAAAAGAAAAAAGAAAAUAAUUUUUUUAUCGGGCCGACCCGACCCGACCUUGCCGACCCGAGAACCCGACCUACAACAGCCAGCAGCCCAUCAACGCCUAGGCCCAGAGAGUAGCCCAGAAAAAAAAGAAUAAAAAAGGAAACAGAAAAAAAAUAAAGAAAGCAGGCCCAUUUGCGCACCAGCCUAGGCCAGUCCAGCAGCAGCCUAGUAGGCCUCCAGGCCCACCAGCAGGCCCAAAAGAGGCAGG